ensembl:lncRNA
CUAGAGACUAGUUUGCUAACAAGUUACAUAGGCAGUACUGAACUUUGUGGAGAGACUCGUUUCUGGCUACUGCAAUUUCAUCCCCAUAUAUAUAUAUAUAUAUAUAUAUAUAUAUAUAUAUAUAUAUAUAUAUAUACACACACACAUAUAUAUAUAUAUGGUCCUGGUUUUGCACAUACCUGUAGUGCCAACUGGGUAGGACACAGCAGGAGAAUGGAGUCGUCUGAUAUAUGAAUGUAGUGAAAUACUCUUAAGAUGGUUGAAAGAGAAAGACGACACCGUGAUGGCUUCAAAAGACCUGUCUGUCAUCUCUGUAUAAUGGUUUAGCUAAUGUUAUUAUGAAUUGUAAUUGUUUAUUUUUCUCUGGUUAAGAUUUCAUUGACAGGUUUAAGACACCACGGAUGCCCUGGUAUGAUAUUGGGGUGCUGGUUCAUGGGAAGGCUGCAAGAGAUAUUGCAUGACAUUUCAUUCAGAGGUGGAACUUUACAAAGCUGGUGAAGAAGCAGUCGGGGGCGACGUGCUACCCCUGCCUCAUGCCCAAGUCUCUAUCCGCACCCAUGGUGCCAGCUGAGUACAGCGGCAAAUCAACACAGGCUAAUGUUCAGCUUUUGAGGUCUGUGUGCCAGUGGUCUAUUGGGACAAAGGUCCACGAGGAGUCGAUUCAUUUAGCCUAUGUAUCAGCCAUCCAGAACAGCAAACAUUUCAUCUACAUAGAGAUAAAAUAUAUGUGACCUUGGACCACAAAACCAAGUCGCUGGGGUAUAUUUGUAGCAAUACCCAAAAAUACAUUGUGUGAAUCAAAAUUAUUGAUUUUUCUUUUAUGCCAAAAAUCAUUAGGAUAUUAAGUAAAGACCAUGUUCCAUGAAGAUAUUUUGUAAAUUUCCUACUGUAAAUAUAUUAAAACUUAAUUUUUUAUUGGUAAUAUGCAUUGCUAAGAACUUCAUUUGGACAACUUUAAAGGCGAUUUUCUCAAUAUUUUGAUAUUUUUGCACCCUCAGAUUCCAGAUUUUUAAAUAGUUGAAUCUCGGCCAAAUAUUGUCCUAACAAACCAUACAUCAAUUGAAAGCUUAUUUAUUCAGCUUUCAGAUGAUGUAUACAUUUCAAUUUCAAAAAAUUUACCCUUAUGACUGUUUUUUUGGUCCAAGGUCACAUAUGACCAUAACUGUACAUCAACUGCACAGUUUGGUACAGGGCCUAUGUCUGGUCUUCAGUGCAGAGUAAAAUGUUUUUAUUUGUUUUUAGGGGCACAGUAACCGUGCAUAAAUUCUAUGAACUUUGAUUCAAAUUUAUAUUUCAGAAAUGCUGUUUUAUUCUAACUACAGUAUCUAUUCAUUGAGAGUUGAAAACAGUUGUAUGGCACUGUAAAAUUUUAAUAAUGUUUCAAUUUUGAUCAUACUAAUGCAGCUGUGGUGAGCAUAAGGAACCUCUUUCAAAAAAAAAAAAAAAAAAUCUUACUGACCCCAGCCAUCAAAGCAUUCAUGCACUUUAAUUACAGGUAAUAACCCUGCAAGCAUGUGUCUACAGUAAUCACCAAAUUGCCACAAUUAAGGGUAAAAAUGCAGCCUGAACGGCAGCUUGCAGCAAAUUACACGUGUGUAAUGUGGAAACAACAGACCCUGCUCCUCACAGGCUACAGAGAGACCAUUACAGCCCCAGCUUGGACUCUCUACACUAGGCUAGAUAAGAGGAGCAGUGUGGGUGCUGUUGUCACUGGGGUUUAGCGAGCGAUGUGAUUGGUCAGGUGAAGAGGAAUUAAAAAAUAUGAUUGGUGCAAGACAGGAAGUAGAUGAAAUGAAACCCCUCUUUCUCAAUUUCAGGACAAUGUGCCGAGGGGAGCACUCCAUUAUUGAGAGGCUCAAAUGUAUGAGUAAGCAGACUAGUACUUAGAAGUAUAAACCUACACUAUAUCCGUAACAUCUGCAAAAACCAUGACCAUGUAAUUCAUUAUAACAGGACAAG